GACGAACGCUGGCGGCGUGCUUAACACAUGCAAGUCGAACGAGUGGCGAACGGGUGAGUAAUGUCUGGGAAACUGCCUGAUGGAGGGGGAUAACUACUGGAAACGGUAGCUAAUACCGCAUACCAUCAGAUGUGCCCAGAUGGGAUUAGCUGGUAGGUGGGGUAACGGCUCACCUAGGCGACGAUCCCUAGCUGGUCUGAGAGGAUGACCAGCCACACUGGAACUGAGACACGGUCCAGACUCCUACGGGAGGCAGCAGUGGGGAAUAUUGCACAAUGGGCGCAAGCCUGAUGCAGCCAUGCCGCGUGUGUGAAGAAGGCCUUCGGGUUGUAAAGCACUUUCAGCGGGGAGGCGUUACCCGCAGAAGAAGCACCGGCUAACUCCGUGCCAGCAGCCGCGGUAAUAC
rnacentral:rRNA from 1 species